GCAAGCGGGCUGCUUUAAAACAUGGCAAGUCGAACGAUGAACCACUUCGGUGGGGAUUAGUGGCGAACGGGUGAGUAACACGUGGGCAAUCUGCCCUGCACUCUGGGACAAGCCCUGGAAACGGUGUCUAUACCGGAUACUGACCAUCGCAGGCAUCUGUGAUGUUCGAAAGCUCCUGCGGUGCAGGAUGAGCCCGCGGCCUAUCAGCUUGUUGUUGAGGUAAUGGCUCACCAAGGCGACGACUGGUAGCCGGCCUGAGAGGGCGACGGGCCCACUGGGAUGAGACAUGGCCCAUACUCCUACGGGAGUCAGCAGUUGGUAAUGCAUAUUGUCAUUA
rnacentral:rRNA from 1 species